rnacentral:lncRNA from 10 species
CAAGAAGCUGUUAGAAAACAAUUCUCGCUGGUGUAGAUUUUGUCCUGUUUUGGUUGUGAGGAUGAGGGGCUGGUGUGGAUCAACAGUCCUGAGGGGGAAGCAGGAAUCCCAGAAGACGGAGGGUCAGGCUGGGGAAUGCAGUUCUGGAAGCUGAGAGCAGAGUGCCCAGUCCUUUCACAUCAGUUUGCCAUAGUGCUGCAUUCAGGAGCUUCUGUCCAAGACACAAAGCCUGGCUGGCCUGUCAUUUCUUAAUAAUCCAGCAAGCUUCCAGGACUGACUUCAUCCUUCUGUCCAUUCAAUCAUCCAUCCAUCCACUUACCCAUCCAUCUAUCCAAAGGGGCACAAGGACACUUUUAGGGCUGAUGGAUGUGUUCACUGUCUUGACUGCUAUGAUGGUUUUAUGGGUGUGUACAUGUGUUAGAACUGGUAAAGUGGUAUACUUUAAAUGUGUGCAUGUGAGUGUACCUUAAUUAUAUUUCAAUAAAGUUGGAAAAAAGGAAGGUAAAUAACAGUAGGUCAAAACUGAUAACACCCCACAUUAUCCAUGGACAAGACAAUGGAUAAGCUGUGGAAUAUCCAUACAAUGGAAUACUGCUCAGCAGUAGAAAGGAACAAAUUGCUCAAAUAUACGACAACAUGGACCAUCUCACACAUGAAUGCUGAUCAAAAGACGUCAGAUGCGACAAUCAUUCUGUACAGUUCCAUUUAUAUACACUUCAAAAACAGAGAAAACAGGCCUGGCAUGGUGGCUUAUGCCUAUAAUUCUAGCACUUUGGGAGGCCAAGGCAGGUGGAUCACCCGAGGUCAGGAGUUCAAGGCCAGCCUGACCAACAUGGUGAAACUCUGUCUCUACU